rnacentral:rRNA from 1 species
UACGUAGGCAGCGAGCGUUGUUCGGAGUUACUGGGCGUAAAGGGUGUGUAGGCGGUUGUUUAAGUUUGGUGUGAAAUCUCCCGGCUCAACUGGGAGGGUGCGCCGAAUACUGAAUGACUAGAGUGCGGGAGAGGAAAGUGGAAUUCCUGGUGUAGCGGUGAAAUGCGUAGAUAUCAGGAGGAACACCUGUGGCGAAAGCGGCUCACUGGACCAUAACUGACGCUGAUGCACGAAAGCUAGGGGAGCAAACAGG